AAAAAAAGAAAAUGGUUGUCAUCACUUUCACAGCUAAUGCCCCUUUAAAAUAAGAUGUAAGUGCACAGUUAUCUGAAUUUUAAUCUAAUUAGAAAAAAAAAAGUGAAGAAAAAAUAUCUAUAUCUAAAUCAAUGGAGAGAGAGAGAGAGAGAGAGAGAGAGAGAGAGAGAGAGAGAUUUCUUUUCUUUAUUUACAUGUAUAUCUGAACAUUGAUUACAAUUCAGAUACUGGAUUUGUGAGUUGAAAUUAAUCAAAUGAGAGUGGUAAAAAUUCACCUUUAUAUCGUAUAAUUUAUCCAGGUACGUUAUUCUGGUGUGUGGAAUGCUAAUUGAUACUAAGUUAGAAUAAUCUAAGCUGUAUACCAAAGUAGGUCUUCAUGGAGCUUUACGGUUCUAUGCAUCGCAAAUAGAGAUCGGGUUCAAUGCGUCGGGUGUGGGAUUCACUCAAUAUUAUAUGCUGAGCGCGAAAGUUGAUAUCAACAGACGCCAUGAUGUUAUACCGGUAAACAUCUUGAACAUGAAUCGAGAACAGGAGUUGAUGCAGAUAUUCUGAGGAGAAUCUUCCAAUCAUUGAAAUAUAUUUCAUGAUAGUCGUGAAGAUACAGAAGUUGUGAUGGUGUGUUGAUAGGCUGUCUUCAACUUGCCAUAUCUGAGAGUUCCAACAUGCAGGCCUGGAUUAAUGUGUAUAAAUCACUAAUGAAGUUACUUAGUGUUAUUUAGUUUUAAAAAAAGAAUGACAUUUCAAUUUAUACACACUUGCCAAGUGAAUCUGAUGACACUGCUACAUGUAUUUGUGAGUAAAGGCACUCUGUCAUGUCUUAACCGAAAAACUAUUUACAGUUUAUCACAACAAAUGGAUGGGACAGUAGAGUUGUUGCGGACAAUAUGUGAUUGUGAUGACCAAGUACUGAACAAGUGGAAGAUUAGAAGAAGGUCCAGAAUUCAAUCAUGUUUUUGAUUCUAAGGCGCAGACAGCAUGGAGAUAGUCCUAUUAUUCUCCCAUUCUGACCUCUAUGAUGGAGAAACUUGUGUAAAUGUUUACAGUGUUCUCCCUAAUAAGGGCCCACAAGUCUGUAUUAAUUUAUCAGAAUAUAAAGUCCUUCACAGUACUCAAAAGUACUGACUUUAAAAUUCAUGUAGAUUGUCUCCAGAUUUUUCUGAGGAAAAGUGCAUAGUUCACAUGUGUGAAUUUUGAAUAUAUUUCAUUCUUGUCUGCAAAUGUUGCUGAAACCUGUUUAUAUUGAUGCACAAUGCACAUAGUCAUGUUAUGCAAAUGAUAGACCUCCUUUUUAAUUACAUGUCCUUAAGAUUAUGUCAACUCCUUUGUCUUAAUUGUAUAUACAAUUCUAUCAUUUAUAGCAUCAUUUGUAUAGCACUUGCUAGUUUAAUAAGGAUUUUAUUUUUUUAAAACUUUCAUUUGACUUGAUUGAUCUAAAACGGCCAAAAUUCACAAAUCUAUUUAAAUCACAACCUGACCUUAGGCCAGAAAAGUGCCACAGUGGGUUGAUAUUUUUCUCUUCGAUCUUGAAAGAAAUUCUUUAUGCAGCAGUUUCCAAAUAAAAUGUACUCUCAUGGCCAGGGUGGGACUUCACCGAGAACUUUUUAACAUUGCACAAUGCAAUAUUUGUGGAUUAGAAGCUGUUGCAGUUUCUUUAAGUUUUCUCUCACAUCUUGUUAUAAUUAUAUUUUAUAUUUUUGGUCGGGUUGCACAAUGUGCAAACAGUUUAUAAAAUGCUGAAUGACUGGUGGGCAAGCGACAAUAGCGUCCCUGUAAUAGUACCUACUUUGUGUAAUCAACUCCUUUCACACCUCUCACUUGAUGUUCCUCAAACUUUGUACAGUUGUUAGGGAUACAUCGAAGAUGUGCGUGUACCUUUUUGAAAGUGAUCAGACAUUUUUUGAAAAAUUUACAUGUAGUUAAACUUCCUCAUUUUUUAAGCAUUUCUUUAAUCGACAGUAUCUAUUUUGUGUAAUCAACUCCUCGUAUACCUCUAAUUUGACAUUCCUCAAACUGUGUACAGUUGUUAUGAAUACAUUGAAGAUGUGCAUAUGUGUUUUUGAAAGUGAUCAGACAUUUUAAAAAAAAAAAUGUACAUGUAGUUGAACUUAAGUCAUUUUAAAGCAUUUCUUGAAUAGAUGGUAACUAUUUUGUGUAAUCAAAUCUUCAUGCACCUCUAACUUGACAUUCCUUAAAAUUUGUACAGUUGUUAUGAACACAUUGAAGAUGUGCAUGUGUCUUUUUGAAAAUGAUUAGACUUUUUUUUUUUUUUAAUUACGUGUAGUUGAACUUGUUAUUUUUUUAUGCAUUUCUUGAAUAGAUGGUACCUAUUUUGUGUGAUCAACUCGUGCACGUCUAAAUUGAUAUUCCUCAAACUUUGUACAGUAGUUAUGGACACAUUGAAGAUGUGCAUGUGUCUUUUUGAAAGUGAUCAGACUUUUUUCAAAAAAAUUACAUUUAGUUGAACUUUGUCAUUUUUAUAAAGCAUUUCCUGAAUAGUUGGUACCUAUUUUUUGUAAUCAACUCCUCUUACAGCAUUUAUUUGACAUUCUUCAGACCUUGAACAGCUGUUAUGGAAGCAUUGUAAAUGUGCAUGUGUCUUUUCGGAAGUGAUCAGGCAUUCUUUGAAAAAUUUACAUGUGCAUGGUGAAGUUGAACUUGGUCAUUUUUUAAGCAUGGUACUUUAUGUAACCAACUCAUCUUUUACUUAACAUUUUCCAAACCCUGUACAUUAUAGAUGUUAUAAAAACAUUGAAGAUUUACAUCUAACAUUUUAAAAAUGUUUCUCUCUUUUUUUUUUUGUUGUUGAAAAAUUCUACAUUUAAUUUGUCAUUUUUCCAGUAUGUUUCUACUGUUGUUCCUAUGAUAGAUAACAUAUUUUACAAGAACCUGGUCAUUUCUGUUUUUGAAUCUCUCUUUUUUUUAAUUAGUAUUUUUGAAUAUGUUAAUUACUUGAUAUGUCAUUGUUCUUGAAAUUAUAUUAAUUGAAUUAU